rnacentral:rRNA from 1 species
GAUGAACGCUGGCGAAAUGCUUUACACAUGCAAGUCGAGCGCGCCCUUCGGGGUGAGCGGCGGACGGGUUAGUAACGCGUGGGAACGUGCCCUUUGGUACGGAAUAGCCUCUGGAAACGGAGAGUAAUACCGUAUGAGCCCUUCGGGGAAGAUUAUCGCCAAAGGAUCGGCCCGCGUUAGAUUAGGUAGUUGGUGGGUAAUGCCUACCAAGCCUACGAUCUAUAGCUGGUUUUAGAGGAUGAUCAGCAACACUGGGACUGAGACACGGCCCAGACUCCUACGGGAGGCAGCAGUGGGGAAUCUUGGACAAGUGGGGGCAACCCUGAUCCAGCCAUGCCGCGUGAGUGAUGAAGGCCUUAGGGUCGU